AUGCUCCUCGUUUGCCCGUGGGUUGACCUGGUUUGGUUUAGUGGCCUUCUCAAUUAUAAAAUUGACAAACCGAAAUACCUUUGAUAAGUGGUUAUUGAAGUGCACCACAGAAGGGCUAAAAACUAAUAAGGAAAAAGGGUGUUUCUUAGAUAUUAUUGAUGUUACAUGCUGGACUAUUUGGAAAACAAGGAAUCGGGCAUCUUUUGAUCACGUCCAACCACAACCACACUUGGCCAUCCAAACCAUUAUUUUGAAAAUUGAGCAGUUGUCUGUGAUAAAUAAUCGAAAGAGUGACAGAAGUAUUCUCGAAGGACCCUCUCCAAACUUCGAUUCAUGGACCGCACCUGAAGCCCCUAUUAUUAAAGUAAAUAUUGAUGUUUCUUAG
rnacentral:lncRNA from 1 species